AGAGUUUGAUCCUGGCUCAGAUUGAACGCUGGCGGCAGGCCUAACACAUGCAAGUCGAACGGUAGCACAGAGGAGCUUGCUCCUUGGGUGACGAGUGGCGGACGGGUGAGUAAUGUCUGGGAAACUGCCCGAUGGAGGGGGAUAACUACUGGAAACGGUAGCUAAUACCGCAUAACGUCGCAAGACCAAAGAGGGGGACCUUCGGGCCUCUUGCCAUCGGAUGUGCCCAGAUGGGAUUAGCUAGUAGGUGGGGUAACGGCUCACCUAGGCGACGAUCCCUAGCUGGUCUGAGAGGAUGACCAGCCACACUGGAACUGAGACACGGUCCAGACUCCUACGGGAGGCAGCAGUGGGGAAUAUUGCACAAUGGGCGCAAGCCUGAUGCAGCCAUGCCGCGUGUAUGAAGAAGGCCUUCGGGUUGUAAAGUACUUUCAGCGAGGAGGAAGGCGUUGUGGUUAAUAACCGCAACGAUUGACGUUACUCGCAGAAGAAGCACCGGCUAACUCCGUGCCAGCAGCCGCGGUAAAAGGG
rnacentral:rRNA from 1 species